UACGUAGGGUGCGAGCGUUAAUCGGAAUUACUGGGCGUAAAGGGUGCGCAGGCGGUUUGUUAAGACGGAUGUGAAAGCCCUAGGCUCAACCUAGGAAUAGCAUACGUGACUGACAGACUAGAAUAUGGCAGAGGGAGGUGGAAUUCCAUGUGUAGCAGUGAAAUGCGUAGAGAUGUGGAGGAACACCGAUGGCGAAGGCAGCCUCCUGGGCCAAUAUUGACGCUCAGGCACGAAAGCGUGGGGAGCAAACAGG
rnacentral:rRNA from 1 species